rnacentral:rRNA from 1 species
CGGAGGGUGCAAGCGUUGUCCGGAUUUAUUGGGUUUAAAGGGUGCGUAGGCGGUUGAUUAAGUCAGCGGUGAAAGUUUUGGGCUCAACCCAGAAUUGCCAUUGAUACUGGUCGACUUGAGUAUUGCAGGGGUACAUGGAAUUGAUGGUGUAGCGGUGAAAUGCAUAGAUACCAUCAGGAACACCGAUAGCGAAGGCAUUGUACUGGGCAACCACUGACGCUGAUGCACGAAAGCAUGGGGAGCGAACAGGAUU